UGCAAGUCGAGCGGUAGAGAGGUGCUUGCACCUCUUGAGAGCGGCGGACGGGUGAGUAAUGCCUAGGAAUCUGCCUGGUAGUGGGGGAUAACGUUCGGAAACGGACGCUAAUACCGCAUACGUCCUACGGGAGAAAGCAGGGGACCUUCGGGCCUUGCGCUAUCAGAUGAGCCUAGGUCGGAUUAGCUAGUUGGUGAGGUAAUGGCUCACCAAGGCGACGAUCCGUAACUGGUCUGAGAGGAUGAUCAGUCACACUGGAACUGAGACACGGUCCAGACUCCUACGGGAGGCAGCAGUGGGGAAUAUUGGACAAUGGGCGAAAGCCUGAUCCAGCCAUGCCGCGUGUGUGAAGAAGGUCUUCGGAUUGUAAAGCACUUUAAGUUGGGAGGAAGGGUACUUACCUAAUACGUGAGUAUUUUGACGUUACCGACAGAAUAAGCACCGGCUAACUCUGUGCCAGCAGCCGCGGUAAUACAGAGGGUGCAAGCGUUAAUCGGAAUUACUGGGCGUAAAGCGCGCGUAGGUGGUUCGUUAAGUUGGAUGUGAAAUCCCCGGGCUCAACCUGGGAACUGCAUCCAAAACUGGCGAGCUAGAGUAUGGUAGAGGGUGGUGGAAUUUCCUGUGUAGCGGUGAAAUGCGUAGAUAUAGGAAGGAACACCAGUGGCGAAGGCGACCACCUGGACUGAUACUGACACUGAGGUGCGAAAGCGUGGGGAGCAAACAGGAUUAGAUACCCUGGUAGUCCACGCCGUAAACGAUGUCAACUAGCCGUUGGGAGCCUUGAGCUCUUAGUGGCGCAGCUAACGCAUUAAGUUGACCGCCUGGGGAGUACGG
rnacentral:rRNA from 2 species